CAGCAGCUGCAGCGGCGGCACUCACCGAGACACAAGGGCUGGAGGUGGUGCUUGGCGUCGGCGACCGCUGCACCGUCACCAAAGCCAUCUAGAGAGCCCCGGACGCGGUCAGUCGCAUCCUCGUCAGCAGUUCUCCGUGAAUUGGUCCAGAGCAGAGUGGAGAGCCAGCGAGAUCGCAUUCACCGUUGAUCUGUUCUGGCGGUGAGCAAACUGCAAUGGGUCCAGGUUUUUGUCGAGAUAUGAAAUCUCUGACUCAGGCAUUAUCUUUCAGUGCCAGAUGGUGACUGAAAUAAGACACGUACCCUGGGAGUAGACGCAUGAAAACUUGGAAUAAAUAUUCAUUAACGUUUGAUCUUAACUUUCAUUCACAAUCUUCUUCCUGCGUAUAUGGCGUGCACCGCCUAAAGUUGUAGGACAUCUUGUUUU